AAGGGACAGGUGAGUCAUCGAAUCUUUGAACGCACAUUGCGCCCCCUGGCAUUCCGGGGGGCAUGCCUGUCCGAGCGUCAUUGCAACCCCUUCAAGCUCAGCUUGUGUGUUGGGCGCCGUCUUCACUAGAUGCGCCCGAAAGGCAGUGACGGUUCCGGGGUCCGGUGCCCGAGCGUAUGGGGCUUUGUCACCCGCUCUAGAGGCCCGGCCCGGUGACCGGUCUAUAACCAAAUCUUUUCGUGGUUGACCUCGGAUCAGGUAGGGAUACCCGCUGAACUUAAGCAUAUCAAUAAGCGGAGG
rnacentral:misc_RNA from 1 species